CUGCUAUCAGUGGAAAAUGGCCUACCAAGUUAGGAAACCUUUGCUGCACCUGCUUUCCCAGGCUGUGCCACUGCAGUUCUAAGACUAACCAGAAUUGGCUACAGUUUCUUCAAGAAAAUACCCCAAUGGAAGAAAAACAGGUGGAGGGAGAAACUGAAUGAAGAAAGGAUGAUUUGAAAUUACCAGAAAGUGGAACAUGGAAAAAACAGAUUAAAACUAGUUUGAGAAUAAAAUCUUAGGUUGUUACACCUUCUGGGAAUUUAUUCUUUAAAUAUUGCUUUUAACUGGAUUCUUUGGUAAAUAGUAAAUGCAUUUUGGCUUUGAU
rnacentral:lncRNA from 1 species